rnacentral:rRNA from 1 species
AUUGAACGCUGGCGGCAUGCCUUACACAUGCAAGUCGAACGGUAACGCGGGGCAACCUGGCGACGAGUGGCGAACGGGUGAGUAAUGUAUCGGAACGUGCCCAGUUGUGGGGGAUAACUGCUCGAAAGAGCAGCUAAUACCGCAUACGACCUGAGGGUGAAAGCGGGGGAUCGCAAGGCCUCGCGCAAUUGGAGCGGCCGAUAUCAGAUUAGGUAGUUGGUGGGGUAAAGGCUCACCAAGCCGACGAUCUGUAGCUGGUCUGAGAGGACGACCAGCCACACUGGGACUGAGACACGGCCCAGACUCCUACGGGAGGCAGCAGUGGGGAAUUUUGGACAAUGGACGCAAGUCUGAUCCAGCCAUGCCGCGUGCGGGAAGAAGGCCUUCGGGUUGUAAACCGCUUUUGUCAGGGAAGAAACGCUCUGGGUUAAUACCUCGGGGUAAUGACGGUACCUGAAGAAUAAGCACCGGCUAACUACGUGCCAGCAGCCGCCGUAAGAC